CAAAAAAAAUUAAAUAUUACUACUAACAAAAAUAGAAUAAAAUAAAAAUGAAGCAUUUUCCUACUGUUGCUAUCCUACUCUUCUUAGUGCUUCUUCUCUCAACAAAUGAAGAAAUAGGAGGUGGAAUUAGAAAGACGGAUGCAAAACUGUGUCAAUAUCACAGCGAAACGUUCCAUGGGGUGUGUGUGACUGGUAACAAUUGCAACCGACACUGUCAGCGAGAAAACUUUGAGGGUGGCCGCUGCCACGGCAUUCGCCAUUAUCGUUGCGUCUGCUAUAGAACUUGUUAAUUUCUUUUUAUUAUUUCGAAUGCGUUAUAAAUAAUAAUAAAUAUUGCUUGUAAUGUAAUGAUGCUCAAUUUUCUU